CAUUCCUGUGAUUGGAAACUGAGACUUGGAGUGGCUGAGUCGUGGGCCUGUGCUUUCCAAGACUAAGUGAGGCCUUAAAAACCAGGAGUCUUGACCUGGAGCAAAGAAGAAGCAGAUGCAACCAAGAAGAGUACGGGUUGAUGGAACACUAUUUCUAAAAAUGCGAGCCUGUCCAGCAGAGAAGACCGCCUGUUUGCACAGCACAGAUGCUGACAGAUGUCUAGUAACUCAGCACUCAGCUGCAACUUCUGUGCCACCCUGCGCCGCCCAGGAGACAAGAUGAAAUUGCUAGUAUGUGAGAUUUGUGACAGCCUCUGCACGCCAGGACUUCUCGCGUCUUUAUCAUCAGGGACACAACUUAGACCAGUUUCUGCUGUGUGGAACCUUCAUGGACAUAUGAUCCCUGUGGAGACAUGGCUCUGGUUUUGUUGUUUUUAACACAUUCCAUUUUGAAUCAUAAGCUAUUUGAGCUGGACAGGAGACUAUUAAAGACCUAUUCGGUCUCCUGAUCUAUAAACUGAAUUCCACUGAGCCCUGGAAGUCAUCCAAAGUGCUCAGGGCCACUCUAAUUUUACCUCUUCUCUAUAUGCAACCACCCCACGGGUGUCUGCAAGGGACAGCAAAACCUGCAGAUGCCCAAAUCGCUCGCAGAAAACACUGUAGUGUCGGCAAACAUUCCAGAAAGAAGGAACUUUUCUAAAGUCAUGGACAUUUGAAGAAUGACAAAAAAAAAAACAUUAAACAAUUUUGAACGGUUAAAAAUGUAACCCUUUUCUUAACACAAAACAAACAAUAAAGCCAAUUUUUACCUGGAUUGGAUCUAGACA
rnacentral:lncRNA from 1 species